UCACCGUGAGAACCACACAGCAAAAAAUAAUGUAAAACGCCCCGACGUAAUCAUGCUGAUGUACUAAUAACAGCGACGUAACCGUGAUUUUCAUAUGCAAAAUUACACAGGUUGGAUGCUAAUCUACAUCUUUCUUCAAAUUACACAAAUAAAUUUUCACAAGUUUGCAUUACGCCAUACCUGUGUAAUAUUCACAUGAAGAGAACGUGAAUAUUACACAGAAACAGCUGCAACCAAGUGGUUCCAUUCAAUAAUGUGUGAAAUUACACAGAAGCAAUGUCAUAUUGCUCUUUUUCGAUGCGAUAUUAAAUCUAGCAACACUGGACUACUUUGUUGUUAUCGGCCCGGUCGGCAAAGCGAGCAGCCAUCUUGAAGUAGUCUUUCGUCGAUAGAAGUUGAACUUUUAUUUUGUUGCAUUCUAAAGCAUAAAGGCAAGCUUUAUUCAAAAGACUAAUAUUUUAAUUUAACUAAUUAAACAGUUUUCAUUUCAGCGGUGGUAGUCGAUGCCGAUAUGCCUCCAGUGUUUAAUAAACAUCAAUCGUUAGCUUCGAAAUCGUACCACUGUAGCUGCCGCAGCUUAAUUUUCCUGGACAGUAUGGACCAGAUACCAUACAAGUGCUCAGACUGCACACCGGGAGACAAUCUGCAGGUGGCGAAUUACGGGUACUACAAGGUGGGCAAACACUAAGGUGGACGACGGAUUCGAUUCCAACGAGAGGAGUGCAAUGUGUCCUCGCACGAAACCACAUACAAUUUUGAAAACGCCAUGAACAAAACGGAGCGAGUGCGGCAUAUUGAACCCACGAGCUUAUCAGAGAAUUUGGAGUCAAGUACGCCGACCCGGCUGGAUUCCAAGUUAGUGCCCCAGCCAACUUUUGCAUUUUCCCCGGGUCAAAAAUCUGCCAGGAAAAGCUAUCCGUGCCCUUAACCACCAACGCAAGCCGUGACUGUCAAGUAUGAUCCCUGCAAAUACAUGAUUCCUACAUUUGCCACCGACACGGCAUCCUGAGGUCGUCAAAGCCCAUUUGGUUUAGAAGCUGGUAUUGACUGGUAAACCCCAACCGUGGUCCGUCGUAGUGAUCUGUUCAAGCAUGAAGGCAUGGGAGAAGUUGAUUUGCUCGAGGUUCAUCAGGAUUCUGGUAAGAAUUACUACUUAUUCUGGGUUCGAAGAAGCGGGUAUUGAGAAACACAUCUGCACAUAAAUUAUUUUUUAUCUGGCCUACAAUCUCACUAGUACAAAGCCUGUUCGUUCAGCUCAGUGUUCUUUAAACAUUUCCUCAGUUACAUUGUUACACAUAUUAGUUUUCCUUUUCCAUGGUUGCUCGUGGCUUCAUAGCUCGGCCUUCGUCGAAAUCGUCGCGUUGUCGAAAUCGGUGUAGUGCAGUGAGCUGGGGAGUUACAAGAGCAAUGCAACGUUCACUCUGAUCUGCCCAUGGAUCACAAAUUCCGUGUUCCGAUCAUCAGGAACAACGGGAAACUUUGGAGUAGGAUUGAAAACAACCGCAACUGCAGCAUUUUGCCGGGUAUUGUUUCAUCCGUUACUCCCUCCAAGAGUUACAAGACUCUUCUCCACAAUUUCCCCGGGAAUCUCUCCGGCAAUUAUUCAAGAACUUCUCCAGCAGUUCCACCUGACUACCUCCAGGAGUUAUGGGAAUUUUCUCCAGAAUUUCUUCAUGGAUUUCCAGGAAAUUCUCCCCCAGCAGUUCCUCAGGAAUCUCUCGAAUAUAUUUUCAUGAAUUUUUCCGAAAGCAGUAGUUAUAAAUCCGAUGCGUUUUUUCCUUACAAAGCACAAGCUUUCCGCAUAAAACAGUGUUUACCAGACUGCAUUAUCUCAAGUAUAUUUAUGAGAGAUCCUCCAGGAUUUUGCUGAGAAUUCUUUUAAUAUUUCCCCGGGAAUCUUGCAAUUCCAUUAAGAAUUCUUCCAGGAGUUUUCCCAAUAGUUGUCCUCUAUUCCGCUAAUUCUUCAGAAACCUCUUCAAGCGUUCCACGGAAAUUCCUCCAGAAUUUUAUAGCGAAUUUUUUCCAGUAGUUUCGUUGGAAUCCCUCCAUAGACUCUCCAGGAAUUUUACGGAAAUUUCUCCAAGAGUUCCACAAGAAUUCCUCCAGCAUUUAUGUGAGACUCUCUCCAAGAUUUUUUUCGAAAUUUUCACUAAUUUCUCCAUAUUGGCACUGAACCUUCCCUCCAGGAAUUUUCUGGAAAUUCAUCAUUUUUAUGGACAUUCCACCGAGAUUUCUCUUAGUAUUCUCCGAGGAGUUUCACAGAAAUUCUUCCAAUAUUUGCCUGAGAGUUUAACUAGGAUUUUCCCGACGAUGAUUUAAGAAGUUCUCCGGGAAAUUCUUUCGGCAAUUCCCAAGAAAUUAAUUCAAGAGUUUCUUGGAAUCCCUUCCAGAAGGUACCCGUGAAUUUUCUUCAAUAAUUUUCCGGGAAUCCCUGCAGUAGUUAGUUCUUCAGGAGCUCGUUCAACAGUUCCGCGGAAGUUCAUUCACAUCAGAUGAUCCCAAUAAAUUAUCUCAGGGAAUUCGCUGGAAUUCAUCCAUGGGUUUUUUCGAGGGUUCUUUAGAAAUAUUACAAGGAGUUCCAUGAGAAUUCCUAUAGAGGAUUACCAAUAAUUCAUUAAGAAUUUGUGGUAGAAUUCCUCCAGAAUUUUCUUGAAAGUGUAUCCAUGAAUUCUCUCGAAAUUUCCCCAUAGUUAUUCAGGAAAUUUCUAAUAGUAUUUCCCCAAAACCUGAGGCAUUUAUGUAAAAUCCCUCCAAUAUAUCGCUAGUAUAUCUCCCAAAAAUUCCCCUAGGAAUUCCAGAAAAAAUUCUCUAAGUUUCUCGAGAAUUCCUUUUAGAGUUCCUCUAGAAUUCCUCCAGGAAAUCCUCGGGUAUUCCUUCAGAAGUUCUCUAGGAGUUCCUCGGAUAUUCUUACAGGAGUUCCUCGGGUAUUCAUCCAUGAGUUCCUCGAGAAUUCCUUUAGGAGCUCCUUGGGGAUUCCUCCAGGAGCUCCUCGGGGAUUCCUCCUAAAGUUCCUCGGGCAUUCCUCCAGGAAUUUCUCGGCAAUUUCUCCAAAAGUUUAUCGGGGAUUUCGCCAGAAGUUUCUCUGGAAUUCCUCCAGGAGUUUCCCGGAAAUAUCUCCAGGAGUUCCUCGGAUAUUCCUCCAUUAUUUCCUCGGGAAUUCUUCCAAGGAGUUCCUAGCGAAUUCCUCCAGGAGUUCCUCGGAAAUUCCCAUGGAAAUUCCUUCAAGAGUUCUUUUGAAAUUACUCCAGGAGAGCCUCGGGAAUUCCUCCAGGAGUUCAUCGGGUAUUCUUCCAGAAGUUCAUCGGGAAUUCCUCCUGGAGUUACUCAGAAAUUUCUCCUGGCUGUCCUCUGAAUUCCUCCGGGAGUUCCUCCAGCAGUUCCAAAUUACUCCAGGAGUUCCUCGGAAAUUCCUCUGGGAGUUUCCUAGAAAUAUCUCCAGGAGGUCUGCGGAUAUUCCUUCACCAGUUCCUCGCGAAUUCCUCCUGGAGUUCCUCGAAAAUUCCUCCUGGAAUUUCUCGGGAAUCCUUCCACGAGUUUCUCAGAAAUUCCUCCAGGAGUUUUGGGGAAUAUCAUCAGAAGUACCUCGAGAAUUCCUCCAGGAGUUCCCCGGAAAUAUCUGCAGGAGUUCUUCGCGAAUAUCUCCAGAAGUUCCUCGAAAAUUCGUUCAGGAUUUCCUCAGAAAUUCCUCCAGGAGUUUCUUGGAAAUUUCUCCGAGAGUUCCUCAGAAAUUUCUUUGGAAUUUCCUCUUGCUCUUCCUCGGGAAUUCAUCCAGGAGUUUCUCGGGAAUUACUUCAGGAUUUCCUCGGCAAUUCCUCCUGGAGUUCCUCGGGAAUUCUUCCUGAAGUUGCUCGGAAAUUCUUCCUGAAGUUCCUCGGGAAUUCCUCCUGAAGUUUCUUGGGAAUUCCUCCUGGAGUUUCUCAGGAAUUGCUCCAGGAGUUUCUCGGGAAUUCCUCCAAGAGUUCCUCGGGAAUUCUCCAGAAGCUCCCUAUAAAUAUCUGCAGCAGUUCUUCGGGAAUAUCUCCAGAAGUUCGUUGGGAAUUCUUCCUGGAGCUCCUUGAAUAUUUCUCCGGGAGCUCUUCAGGAAUUUCUCAAGAAUUUCCUCGAGUAUUUAUCCAGGAGUUCCUAGGAAUUUUUCAUCAAUAAUUCCUCUGAAAUUCCUCCAGGAGUUCUUCGGGAGUUGCUUCAGGAGUUCCUCAGGAAUUGCUCCAAAAGCUCCUCGAGGAUUCCUCUAGGGAAUGUCCCCAGAAGUUCUUCGUGAAUUCCUCCUGGAGUUCCUUGAAAAUUUCGCCGGGAGCUCUUAUGGAAUUUCUCAAGAAUUUUCUCUGAAAUUUCUAUUUUUCCCCAGGAGUUCCUCGGGAAUUCCUCCAGGAGUUACUUGGAAAUUUCUCCGGGAGCUCCUCAGAAAUUUCUUUGGAAUUUCUUCAUGCUCUUCCUCGGGAAUGCAUCCAGGAGUUUCUCGAGAAUUACUUCAGGAUUUCCUCGGCAAUUCCUCCUGGAGUUCCUCGGGAAUUCUUCCUGAAGUUCCUUGGGAAAUCCUCCUGGAGUUCCACGGGAAUUCCAUCAGUUCCAAGUUGCACCCAGAGUUUCUCUGAAAUUCCUCUAAGAAUUCCUUCUGAAGUUCCUCGGGAAUUUCUCCUGGUGUUCCUCUGAAUUCCUCCAGGAGUUCCUCAGAAAUUCUUUCAUCAGUUCCAAGUUGCUCCCAGAGUUCCUCUCAAAUUCCUCUAGGAGUUCUUCGGGAAUUCCUUCUGGAGUUCCUCGGGAAUUGCUUCAGGAGUUCCUCAGGAAUUACUCCAGUUCCAUUCCAUCAGCUCCCAGGUGCACCCAGAGUUCCUCUGAAAUUUCUCUAGGAGUUCCUCGGAAAUUCCUUCUGAAGUCCUCAAGAAAUUAUCCUGGUGUUACUCUGAAUUCCUCCAGGAGUUCCUUAAAAAUUCUUCCAUCAGUUCCAAGUUGCUCUCAGAGUUCCUCUGGAAUUCCUCCUGAAAUUCCUCGGAAAUUGCUUCAGGAGUUCCUCAGGAAUUGCUCCAGAAGCUCCUCGAGCAUUCCUCUAGGGAUUCGUCGGAAAUUCUCUAGGAGCUCCCCAGAAAUAUCUGCAGCAGUUCUUCUGGAAUAUCUCCGGAAGUUCCACGUCAAUUCUUUCUGGAGUUCCUUGAAAAUUUUUCCGGGAGCUUAUCAGGAAUUUCUCAAGAAGUUCCUCGAGGAUUCAUCCAGGAGUUCCUACGAUUUUUUCAUCAAGAGUUCCUCUGGUAUUCCUCCAGGAGUUCCUCGGAAAAUCCUCAUGAAGUUCCUCGGAAAUUCCUCGAGGAGUUCCUCGGUAAUUCUUCCUGAAGUUCUCCGAGUAUUCCUCAAGGAGUUCCUACAAGAGUUUCUCGGAAAUUCCUUCUGGAGUUCCUCGGGGAUUCUUUCAAAAGUUCCUCGGGAAUUUCUCCUGAAGUUCUUCGGAAAUUCCUCCAAAAGCUCUUCUGAAAUUCCUCCAAGAGUUUCUCGGGAAUUCCUUCAGAAGUUCCUCGGAAAUCCAACCAGAAGUUCCUCAGCAAUUCCUCAGCAGUUCCUUAGAAAUAUCUCCAGAAGUUCUUCGGGAAUUUCUUCAGAAGCCCUUUGGAAAUUCCUCAUGGAGUGCCUCUGAAUUGCUGCAGAAGUUCUUCGGGAAUUGCUUCAGGAGCUCCUCGGGGAUUCCUCCUGAAGUUCCUCAGAAAUUCCUUCAGGAGUUUUUUGGGAAUUUCUUCAGAAGUUCCUCUGAAUUUCCUCUAGGAGUUUCUCUGGAAUUGGGUUCUUUGAGGGGUCCAGAUUAUUUCACAAUCAGAUUCUCCGCCCAAAAAUUAGUCGAAAUCCAAAAUUUCUUAAUUUUUGGAGUUUGGGAACUGUUUUUAAAAUGCAUUUAAAGUUUGUAUGGGAACAUUUUUUGUUCGGGUUGAACUGUCAUUUUAUCGAUAGAGCUGUCAUUCUAUUCACGAAAAUUAAAACUGUUUUGUUAAUUAAGCCAUCAAAACAAUGGUAUUGAAAUCCAAUAAAAUCACGUUAUACUCAGAAAAGUGAGCUCUUUCGGUAAGGCUAUAAUCAAUAGCAGUAUUUUAUUCACUAAACAACCCAAUUCCUCAAAGAGUUCGUUGGAAAUUCUUCCAGGAGUUCCUCGGGAAUUGCUCCAGAAGCUGCUCGGGGAUUCCUCGGAAAUUCUCCAGGAACUCCCCAGAAAUAUCUGCAGGAGUUCUUCGGGAAUAUCUCCAGAAGUUCCGCGUUAAUUCCUUCUGAAGUUCCUUGAAAAAAUUUCCGGGAAGUUCUCAGGAAUUUCUCAAGAAUUACCUCGAGGAUUUAUCCAGGAGUUCCUAGGAAUUUUUCAUCAAGAGUUCCUCUGGUAUUCCUCCAGGACUUCCUCAGAAACUCCUCCAGGAGUUUCUCGGAAAUUGCUUCAGGAGUUCCUCGGAAAUUUUUCGAGAAUUUCCUCGAAGAUUUAUCCAGGAAUUCCUUGGAAUUUUUCACCAAGAGUUCCUCUUCCUGAGGUUCUCCGAGAAUUCCUCAAGAAGUUCCUAAAAGAGUUUCUCGGGAUUCCUCCUGGAGUUCCUCGGGAAUUUCUCCAAGAGUUCCUCGAGAAUUCCUCAAGGAGUUCCUUGGGAAUUCUUCCAGAAGUUCUUCGGGAAUUCCUCCUGAAGUUCUUCGGGAAUUCCUCCAAAAGCUCUUCUAAAAUCCCUCCAAGAAUUCCCAUCAGUUCCCCGGGAAUAUCUUCAGAAAUUCCUCGGGAAUUUCUUCAGAAGUCCCUUGGAAAUUCCUCCUGUAGUUCCUUUAAACAGCUGCAGGAGUUCUUCGGGAAUUGCUCCUGGAGCUCCUCGGGGAUUCCUCCUGAAGUUCCUUGAAAAUUCCUCUAAGAAUUUCUUGAAAAUUCCUUCAGUAGUUCCUUAGGAAUUUCUUCAGAAGUUCCUCUGAAUUUCCUUUAGGAGUUUCUCUGGAAUUCUUCAAAGAGUUCUUCGGGAAUCGCUUCAGGAGUUUCUCAGGAAUUACUCCAAAAGCUGCUCGGGGAUUCCCCGGAAAUUCUGCUCCCUAGAAAUAUCUGCAGGAAUUCUUCGAGAAUAUCUCCAGUAGUUCCUCGUGAAUUUCAUCAGGUGUUCCUUGAAAAUUUCUCCGGGAGGUUCUCAGGAAUUUCUCAAGAAUUUCCUCGAAGAUUUAUCCAGGAGUUCCUUGGAUUUUUUCACCAAGAGUUCCUCUUCCUGAUGUUCUCCGAGAAUUCCUCAAGGAGUUCCUAAAAGAGUUUCUCAGGAUUCCUCCUGGAGUUCCUCGGGAAUUUUUCCAAGAGUUCCUCGAGAAUUCCUCAAGGAGUUCCUUGGGAAUUCUUCCAGAAGUUCUUCGGGAAUUCCUCCUGAAGUUCUUCGGGAAUUCCUCCAAAAGCUCUUCUGAAAUCCCUCCAAGAAUUCCUCGGAAAUUCAACCAGAAGUUCCCCAGCAAUUCCUCCAUCAGUUCCCCGGGAAUAUCUUCAGAGAUUCCUCGGGAAUUUCUUCAGAAGUCCCUUGGAAGUUCCUCCUGUAGUUCCUUUGAACAGCUGCAGGAGUUCUUCGGGAAUUGCUCCAGGAGCUUCUCGGGGACUCCUCCUGAAGUUCCUUGGAAAUUCCUCUACGAAUUUCUUGAAAAUUCCUUCAGAAGUUCCUCUGAGUUCCUCUAGGAGUUUCUCUGGAAUUCUUCAAAGAGUUCCUCGGGAAUCGCUUCAGGAGUUUCUCAGGAAUUACUCCAAAAGCUGCUCGGGGAUUCCUCGGAAAUUCUCCAGGAGCUCCCCAGAAAUAUCUGCAGGAAUUCUUUGAGAAUAUCUCCAGUAGUUUCUCGUGAAUUUCAUCAGGAGUUCCUUGAAAAUUUCUCCGGGAGAUUCUCAGGAAUUUCUCAAGAAUUUCCUCGAAGAUUUAUCCAGGAGUUCCUUGGAUUUUUUCACCAAGAGUUCCUUUGAAAUUACUCCAGGAAUUCCUUGGAAAUUCCUCCUGAAGCUCCUCUGAAUUCCACCAGGAGUUCCCCAGGAAUCCCUCAAGCAGUUCCUCAGGAAUAUCUCCAGAAGUUCCUAGGGAAUUGCCCAAGGAAUCCCUCGGAAAUUCCUCUUGGAGUUCCUCGGGAGUUGCUGCAGGGAUUCCUCGGGAAUUGCUCCAGCAGCUCCUCGAGGAUUCUUCCAGGAAUUCCUCGGCAAUUCCUCCAAGAAUUUCUUAAAAAUUCCUUCAGGAGUUCCACGGGAAUUUCUUUAGCAGUUCCUCGAAAUUUCCUCCAGGAGUUCUCAGGAAACAUCAUCAGGAGUUCCUUGGGAUUUCCUUCAGGAGUAGAAUUUUCCUCGGAAUUGCUACAGGAGUUCCCCGGAAAUUGCGACAGAAGUUCCUCGGUAAUUGCUCCAGAAGUUCCUCUGGUAUUACUCCAGGAGAUCCUCGAGAAUUGUUCCAGCAGUUCUGUGAGAAUUGCUUGAGGAGUUCCUUGGGAAUACCUUCAGGAGUUCCUCAGUAAUUGCUCCAGAGGUUUCUUUGGAACCUCCUGGAUGAAUUUCCGUGGAACUCCUGGAGGAAUUCCCGAGGAGCACCUGAAGGAAUUGUAGUGAACCUGCGGGAGAAAUUCAUGGGGAACUCCUGGAGGAAUAUCCUUGAAACUCCUAGAUGAAUUACCGGGGAACUCCUGAGAAUACUGCCGUGGAAUUCCCAAGAAAAACUGGAUGCAUUUCCGAGGAGCUACUGGAGGAUUUUCCGAGGAGCAACUUGUGGAGGAACUCCUGGGGAUAUUCUCGAGGAACUCUUGACACUUUCGUCUCGGUUGAAAUCCGAAGUUUCCCCACACGCGACAAUCGAGUUUUCUCCAAAUCCUAACCUAACGUCGGACGUAGUGCGCUGGGCAGCGGUCCGGGCCUCCAUCCAGCGCGCUUUGCCGACGCACGGUUUAAGAGAAACAUCGAUUUCCGCGUGUCAAAAAUUCCGAUUUUCAACUGCACGAACGAUAGAAUUCCCGAGGAACUCCUGAAGGAAUUCCCUAAAAACUCCUUGAGGAAUUUCCAUGGAACUUCUGGAGCUCCUGAAGGAUUUCCAGUGGAACUGCUAGAGAAGUUCCCGAGGAAUACCUGAAGAAAUUCUCGAGGUACUUCUGGAGGAAUUCCCGAGAAACUGUUGGAAGAACUCCCGAGACACUCCUGGAGAAAUUCUUGUGGAACUCCUGCAAGACUUUACACGAAAUUUCUGAAGGAAUCCCAGAGAAGCAUCUGCAGCAAUUCCCGAAGAACUCCUGCAGAUAUUUCCGGGAAAGGAAUAACCUUAGAACUCCAUGAAUAAUCUUUGAGUAACUCCUGGACGAAUUCCUGGGAAGCUCUUGGAGGAAUUCCCGGGAAACUCCUGGAGAAAUUACCGAGGAAUCCCUGGAGAAAUUCCCGAGGAACUCCUGAGAAAUUUCCCGGGAAACUUCUGAAGGUGUAUCCUUUAAACUUCUGGUUGAAUUAACGGGGCACUCCUAGAAAUACUACGAAGGAGGACCUGGAGGUAUUCCCGAGGGACUCUCGAGCAACUCCUGGAGGAAUUCCCAAGGAACUCUUGAAAGAAUUCCCGAGGAACUCCGGCAGGACUUCCCGAAGAACUCCUUGAGGUAUUCCCAAAGACCGCCCACAGAAAUUCCUGGAGAAACUCCUGCAUAAAUAUCCGAGGAAGGAAUAACCUUGGAAUUCUUGGAUGAAUCAGCGUAGAGCUCUGGAAAGAGCUUCUGGAAAAAUAGGACCAAUCGGUUAAGUACUAGAUUUGUAGUAAUGAGCUAAAUUUUUGUAUGGUGAGAAGGUAAAUUCUCCGGCUCUGCAAUGAAAUGGCACAAAAAGUGUGGAUAUUAUGAUUCCUUGCCUAAUUUGAUGUUGUUUGAGCACAUUAAGCAACUACUGGCACAAUUGAUUUCCAAAACAGGCACCGAGAUUACACUAGGAAAACAUCUUACUCUUGCUUUGACUAAUUUCUACAAAAUUAGUUAUUUAAUCCAAAUUUAAUCAAACAAUUAUGAAUGCUAAUGAUUAUUAUCCAGUAUUUGUAUAUUUCAGAAUGACGACGUCGCUGUUUUCAAGCAGUACUUUAUGCACCGCUGCCGUCAGAAUUGUCUUCCAGCUAUUUUGUGCCCGCAGAACCAGCUUGAAUUAUAUAUUAUAUAAUAAUGAUUCUUAUCGAUUCUUAUAAGUAAAUUAAAUUUAAUAAAAAAAAAAAUCAACGUAACAAAUAAAAUGUUCCUGUA